rnacentral:lncRNA from 1 species
CACUGGGUCAGACCUCCAAAGUGUGUGGGCAGUGAAAAGGCCUGAGAGAGAUCAUGGUUCACAAUGCAGAUAUGAAGGGAACUGCUGCUUAACUGGCAGACUGUACUGCCCUGAGAGAAGGCUCAGCCCUCUGGAGAGUCCCUCUCUCUUGUUGAGUCAGGAAACCCAUGACACUCUUUCCCCUGUUGAUGCAAGACCUAAUGAGCUCCCUGCUGAGGAGAAAUCCUCAGGGGACAGGGGCUCCAGUUUCAGAGCAGAUGGGGCAAUGUUUGUUCUCACCUGUUCUCAGCAAAAUCUUCUUGCCAUAGUCAAGCUGUGUGCGGAGCAACUUCACACAUUCCUUCUCCAAGUCGCUAGGUUGACACAGGCGCUAUCUACAUUCAGCGAUCUAAAGUACCGUGGAAUCCUUGGUAGUUUGCUGCAUCUACAUUCAUGGGACAGUCUUGUUCAUUGAGUGGCUGUUGUGUUAUUACAUCUUAGUUUUAAAAAGGAGAAUAUUGAGCCGGGCGAUGGUGGCUCACGCCUUUGAUCCUGGCACUCUGGAGACAGAGGCAGGCAGAUCUCUGUGAGUUCGAGGCCAGCCUGGUCUACAGAGCUACACAGAGAAACCCUGUCUUGAACCAUCAAAAAAAAUAAAAUAAAAUAAAAUAAAGAAUAUUGUUGACUAUGUUGGUCAGUCUCUCAGCAUUCAUGCACUUAUAUAAUUUUUAUCAAAUCUCACUUGUUAACAUUAUCACAGAUUUCACCGGAGACACCUGUGAGCACUUAAAGUAGUAACACUUAUUAUGGUGAGGGGUCCAAGUGCCUUCAAAGUGGUAAAGUAGUGCUGAGAGCGUAGAGCUUAUCGUUGCUGUAUCAGGCCGCAGGAGGGCUGAGAGAGGAAAUAAUCGAAUCACAUUUUAUAUUAUAGUAGAAGUUGUUAGGUAUGUUGCAAAUAACUACAGGGCGGACAGGAAAAUGAGGUCUACCCACUGUUUGUGUCCGGGGCUGCAGGGUUAUAGCUUUGGACAAAUACUGUCCAUCUAGGCAUUUUGUUUUGGUGAAUUUUCCUGGCAUGCCAUUCACUCUCUGUGGAUGAAAG